CCUACGGGUGGCAGCAGUGGGGGAUAUUGCACAAUGGGCGAAAGCCUGAUGCAGCGACGCCGCGUGGGCGAUGAAGGCCCUCGGCUCGUAAAGCUCUGUCCUCAAGGAAGAUAAUGACGGUACUUGAGGAGGAAGCCCCGGCUAACUACGUGCCAGCAGCCGCGGUAAUACGUAGGGGGCUAGCGUUAUCCGGAUUUACUGGGCGUAAAGGGUGCGCAGGUGGUUUCUUAAGUCAGAGGUGAAAGGCUAGGGCUCAACCGGAGUAAGCCUGUGAAACUGGGGGACUUGAGUGCAGGAGAGGAGAGUGGAAUUCCUGGUGUAGCGGUGAAAUGCGUAGAUAUUAGGAGGAACACCAGUUGCGAAGGCGGCUCUCUGGACUGUAACUGACACUGAGGCACGAAAGCGUGGGGAGCAAACAGGAUUAGAUACCCUGGUAGUC
rnacentral:rRNA from 1 species